UAACUUGUUCUGAAUGCCUGCCUGACCGCAUUUGUUACUGUUUAAAGGGGACCCAGAGGAUGAUAGAAAGUGUUUCCGCUUGGACCCCUGGGCAGCAGCAUUUUGUCUGCAAAAAUGCUCCCCACUGACCUUGAAGAAUCUAAUAAUCUUUAUGACGUGGAUUUCACCUUUCCUGUCAUCAAUUUGACUCUCCGGUCAAAUCACGGGGAUUUCCAGACAUCCAGUAAAGGUAGUGUCAACAAGCAUGUCAGACCACAAGGUGACAAUGGAUGGCCUGAUCAACCGUGGGCCCGAUUGAAGCUCUUGUGGGCAAUCAUUGCCUAAAACCUUCCUGUAAUCACACAAAAAAAAGGAGAGGUGAAGGUACAUUUGUGUGUUUAUUAUGAUAUUGGAUUGACUUCUUUCCCAACUUGUGUUUUGGCAUGUGAAAUCAAAUGAGGAAUCUUGAAUUCCAUGGAUAUCUACAGCUGUGGGAUUAGGCCAACCACUCCCUGCCCAAGCAUGCAAUUUAAU